CACGUAAGAAUUUGCCUCUAGGAGGGGGACAACAGCUGGAAACGGCUGCUAAUACCCCAUAUGCUUUCGAGUGAAAUGGAUUUAUCCGCCUAGAGAGAAGCUUGCGGCUGAUUAGCUUGUUGGUGGGGUAAUGGCCUACCAAGGCGACGAUCAGUAUCUGGUUUGAGAGGAUGAUCAGACACACUGGGACUGAGACACGGCCCAGACUCCUACGGGAGGCAGCAGUGGGGAAUAUUGCACAAUGGGCGAAAGCCUGAUGCAGCCAUGCCGCGUGUGUGAAGAAGGCCUUCCGGUUGUAAG
rnacentral:rRNA from 1 species